rnacentral:lncRNA from 1 species
AGAAUUUACGCAUCCUUGAGCUCAUCGGCAACAAAAUCACCGGUCAAAUUCCGGCGAAUAUCGGGCAGUUAAGUAAACUCACCGUACUUAACCUAGCUGAUAAUCAAAUCUCCGGUUCAAUCCCCGGUUCAGUUGUCAACUUAGGUAAACUGAAACAUCUUGAGCUUAGCAACAAUCAUCUUUCCGGUUCAAUCCCGGCCGACAUAGGAAAACUCGGGAUGAUGAGCCGGGCUCUACUCAACAAAAACAAACUCACCGGUUCAAUCCCCAACUCAAUCACCCAAAUCCGCAGGUUAGCCGAUUUAGAUCUAUCAAUGAACCAAAUAACUGGUUCACUCCCGGUUCAGCUUGGUUCAAUGCCGGUUCUCUCAACACUUAACCUCGAUUCGAAUCAAAUCUCCGGUUCAAUUCCCACUAAUCUACUUAGCAGCUCCGGGUUAAACAUCUUAAACUUAAGUAGAAACUCAUUAGAAGGAGUAUUACCAGACGUUUUUGGUUCAAAAACUUAUUUUACACAUUUAGAUUUAU